AUAAAGAAUAUGCAAAGAACCUAGUACAAGUUAGUCUGCUUAUAGAGAGCUGAUGGUUGGUGGAAAUCAGUAGUUGUUAAUUUGGAAUCCAGUUCUUAGAUGCGUCUUUUGAAAGAAAGAACCUUCCCUCAGGUUACGAGGUCAAGUGCGGCUAUUUGCCGAACUUGGGUGGCACCGCGAACAACUAUUUCGUCCCAAGC
rnacentral:ncRNA from 1 species